rnacentral:rRNA from 1 species
AGUUGGUAGGGUAAUGGCCUACCAAGGCGACGACGGGUAGGGGACCUGAGAGGGUGAUCCCCCACAAUGGAACUGAAACACGGUCCAUACAUCUACGGAUGGCAGCAGUAGGGAAUAUUGCACAAUGGGCGAAAGCCUGAUGCAGCAACGCCGCGUGUGCGAUGAAGGCCUUCGGGUUGUAAAGCACUUUUCUGAGGGAAGAGGAAGGACGGUACCUCAGGAAUAAGUCUCGGCUAACUACGUGCCAGCAGCCGCGGUAACACGUAGGAGGCAAGCGUUAUCCGGAUUUACUGGGCGUAAAGCGCGUGCAGGCGGUUUGGUAAGUUGGAUGUGAAAGCUCCCGGCUCAACUGGGAGAGGCCGUUCAAUACUGCCAGACUAGAGGACGGUAGAGGAAGGUAGAAUUCCUGGUGUAGUGGUGAAAUGCGUAGAUAUCAGGAGGAAUACCAGAGGCGAAGGCGGCCUUCUGGGCCGUUCCUGACGCUAAGACGCGAAAGCAUGGGUAGCGAACGGGAUUAGAAACCCCGGUAGUCCAUGCUGUAAACGAUGCAAACUUGGUGUUGGUGGUGUAAAAGCCAUCAGUGCCGUAGCUAACGCGAUAAGUUUGCCGCCUGGGGAUUACGGCCGCAAGGUUAAAACUCAAAGGAAUUGACGGGUUCCCGCACAAGCAGCGGAGCGUGUGGUUUAAUUCGAUACGCGAAGAACCUUACCUGGGCUUGACAUAUAGGUGGUAGGGAGCCGAAAGGUGACCGACCCUUCGGGGAGCCUAUACAGGUGCUGCAUGGCUGUCGUCAGCUCGUGUCGUGAGAUGUCCGGUUAAGUCCGGUAACGAGCGCAACCCUUGCCGUAUGUUAUACGUGUCAUACGGGACUGCCGAUAUAAAAUCGGGGGAAGGCGGGGAUGACGUCAAGUCAGCAUGGCCUUUAUGUCCAGGGCUACACACACGCUACAAUGGCCAGUACAAUGGGUCGCAAAGCCGCGAGGCGGAGCCAAUCCUCAAAGCUGGUCUCAGUUCGGAUUGCAGGCUGCAACUCGCCUGCAUGAAGCCGGAGUUGCUAGUAAACGCGCGUCAGCAACAGUGCGUUGAAUACGUUCCCGGGAAUUGUACACACCGCCCGUCACGUCAUGGAAGCUGGUAACACCUGAAGUCGGUAUCCUAACCCUAACGGGAGGGAGCUGCCAAAGGUGGGACUGGUAACUGGGACGAAGUCGUAACAAGGUAGGUGUACCGGAAGGUGCGCCUGG